rfam:Schistosoma mattheei strain Denwood, Zambia genome assembly, scaffold: SMTD_contig0000471
GCACUGCUGAAGAGUUCCACAAUAGGACGAAACGGCCGUCCAGUGC